rnacentral:rRNA from 1 species
GGGGAAUAUUGGACAAUGGGCGAAAGCCUGAUCCAGCCAUGCCGCGUGUGUGAAGAAGGUCUUCGGGUUGUAAAGCUCUUUCGGCCGGGAAGAAAUCGUGCAGGCUAAUACCCUGUAUGGAUGACGGUACCGGAAUAAGAAGCACCGGCUAACUCCGUGCCAGCAGCCGCGGUAAUACGUAGGGUGCGAGCGUUAAUCGGAAUUACUGGGCGUAAAGCGUGCGCAGGCGGUUUUGUAAGACAGGCGUGAAAUCCCCGGGCUCAACCUGGGAACUGCGCUUGUGACUGCAAGACUAGAGUACGGCAGAGGGGGGUGGAAUUCCACGUGUAGCAGGGAUAUGCGUUGAGAUGUGGAGGAACACCAACGGCGACGGCAGCCCCCUGGGUCGAUACUGACGCUCAUGCACGAAACCGUGGCGAGCAAACA